rnacentral:rRNA from 1 species
GAUGAACGCUGGCGGCGUGCCUAAUACAUGCAAGUCGAGCGCGACUGAUUACACCGUUCUUCGGAACACCGUAAUCAUCGAGCGUCGGACGGGUGAGUAACACGUGGACAACCUACCCUUAAGACUGGGAUAACCGCGGUAAACCGUGGCUAAUACCGGAUAAUACUUUUAUACAACGGUAUAGACGUUGAAAGGUGGAUUUCUAUCACUUAAGCAUGUUCCUGCGGCGAAUUAGCUGGUUGGUAAGGUAACGGCUUACCAAGGCGACGAUGCGUAGCCGAACUGAGAGGGUGAUCGGCCACACUGGAACUGAGACACGGUCCAGACUCCUACGGGAGGCAGCAGUAGGGAAUAUUGGGCAAUGGGCGAAAGCCUGACGCAGCAAUGCCGCGUGUGCGAAGAAGGUCUUCGGAUCGUAAAGCACUGUUGUUAGGGAAGAACGACAGUAAGAGUAACUGUUGACUGUGUGACGGUACUGACCGAGAAAGCACCGGCUAACUACGUG